GUAGAGAAGUUUCCACUUGAAACUCAGGUCAUUGGCUGAGUCUCAUGAGCUUCCUUUCCAUGACGAUGGGCAUCACAGCUAAAUCACAGCCUCUGUGAUGAUUUAUAUUCAUCAUGUACAAUCAAUAACUGUCCUGGGAGCUUAUUCCCCUGGUACAUUUUCAAGAGAGAUGGAUAGAAUUCUUUCAUUAUCUUGACUUAUUUUCUGUUAAAAACAUGUUUCUCCUGAGAAUGUACAAUAGCCUGGGUUCCUGUAGAUGGAGAAGACCCUUAACAACACUGGAGCACUCUGGCUCGAGGAUAACAAACGUGUUAUGAAACAUGCAGAUGUGAGUGGCCUUCCAAAGUGAACCAGCUGGGACGGAGAGAUACCAGCAGCAUAAUUGUGUCUUCCUGGUAAGGAGUAGGCCAGAACACAGUCUGCUGAUCAGCAAGGCUGCAAGCACAGUGCCUAGAAUGAUACUGAAUGAAUAAAUGGAUGGAUGGAUGACUUGAACAAUUAGAAGAGUGACUGUCACACACCACUAGGACCUGGCACUUAGUAAUUGUGUUCUAGUCUUGUUUCAGUAAUUCUGUUUUG